rnacentral:rRNA from 1 species
AUCCUACGGGGGGCAGCAGUCGGGAAUAUUGCGCAAUGGAGGCAACUCUGACGCAGUGACGCCGCGUAUAGGAAGAAGGUUUUCGGAUUGUAAACUAUUGUCCUCAGGGAAGAAAAAAGACUGUACCUGAGAAGAAAGCUCCGGCUAACUACGUGCCAGCAGCCGCGGUAAUACGUAGGUCCCGAGCGUUGUCCGGAUUUAUUGGGCGUAAAGCGAGCGCAGGUGGUUUAUUAAGUCUGGUGUAAAAGGCAGUGGCUCAACCAUUGUAUGCAUUGGAAACUGGUAGACUUGAGUGCAGGAGAGGG